CACGUAGGGCGCAAGCGUUGUCCGGAAUUAUUGGGCGUAAAGAGCUCGUAGGCGGUCUGUUACGUCUGCUGUGAAAACCCUGGGCUUAACCCUGGGCUUGCAGUGGAUACGGGCAGACUAGAGGCAGGUAGGGGAGAAUGGAAUUCCCGGUGUAGCGGUGAAAUGCGCAGAUAUCGGGAGGAACACCGGUGGCAGGAGGUCGUCUGGCCUGGCCU
rnacentral:rRNA from 1 species